rnacentral:rRNA from 1 species
UACGAAGGGGGCUAGCGUUGCUCGGAAUGACUGGGCGUAAAGGGCGCGUAGGCGGUUCAUACAGUCAGAUGUGAAAUUCCCGGGCUUAACCUGGGGGCUGCAUUUGAUACGUGUGGGCUUGAGUGAGGAAGAGGGUUGUGGAAUUCCCAGUGUAGAGGUGAAAUUCGUAGAUAUUGGGAAGAACACCGGUGGCGAAGGCG